rnacentral:sRNA from 1 species
GGGGGAGGGAGGGGGGGGAGGACGGAUGGCCGCUGUUCCUCCCUCCGGUGCUGAAGUCAGCCCCACCCCAGGACGAAGGGAGGGGUGUCCCUCCAGGCGGGAGAGGCCCCCUGGAGGCUCCCAGGAAGCCCCACCCCCGCCCUGGCGCAAUCCGGCCGCCCGGGGCGCUGUCCGCCCCGUCGAGUGCUGAAACUCCCUGCUCUGCGGGUCUCGGGAUGGAGAGCCCAACCGGGCCCCGCAACGGGGAGGCAGGGGAGAGGCAGGGAGAACUUUCUUUCUUUCUCUCUUUAGUGAGUUCUCAUCUCUUCCCACCCCAAGAUAGUCAAGAUUUUGGGUGGGAGCAUAGCGAUGGCAUUGGGCUUGCUUUUUCUAAAUCUUAAAAGAUUUUGGGCUGAGUGGGGAUCGUGGCGUCUACCAGAUGCCCACCUGUCGGAGGCCACCAGGCAACCCUGUCCUGGGGCGACCCCACACCUCACUGCACCAGGACCUGAGGUCGCUCCCGAGACCAGGCUUCCAUCCUGGGCCAAGGGCCUUCAAGUCUCCAGGAACCUCUGGAUUUUUGGUGCUGGCUUGGUGACGACUGAGACAACUCAAGGACCAGGCAGCUACCAGAUUCCCAGCCUCACAGUGAAAUUUCAGACUCAGUCUAAAAGGACCUCAUCACAGAUGUGUCUGCACCACGCUUGGGUGUUUCUGGCUGUCAGCUCUCCAGUGCCAAACAGAAGUGUCCCACUGCCACCCCGAAAGCCUUCGGAAUGAAGAACAAACUGCCCACCCAACAUCUGCUCCCAGGAGAGGUGUGUAGGCUGACCUACUGGCAGGAGCUGUGUGACCCCAGGCAAGUCACUUUACCUCUCUGAGCUUGCUUUCUCAUCUGGAAAGCUGGCCUAACACUCCAUUAUCUCAAGGGUGCUUCCAGGACCAAAGGUAUAUACCUGCUGUGCCCGUCUCAGCAUUUCAGGGUACUCGGGACGCUGGACAUAGGGCCACACACUCUCAUCCCAGCACUCUGAAGGCAGAGGCAGGUGGAUCUCUGAGUUCAAGGCCAGCCUGGUCUACAGAGUGAGUUCCAGGACAGUCAGUGUCACAAGUGAGGCUGGCAAGCCACAGUUCCCUUGAAGUCAGUCUUUUCUCCUAACACUGACACAAAGGUUGGUUUUCAUUACUGACUUGGUGCCGUGGCUGUGCCACCCAGAGUAAGGCGAGUGUCUAGCUGAGGAGCAGCCAGCCAGUUCCUGUCAUUUCCCACAGUAGUGCUCCCAAGAGUCAGAACGGGGCUCGGAACCCAGUGCCUUUGAGAUCAGAGGGAACUGGGGAGAUUUUGAUUCGGAUGCAGCUGAAGCCUCGUGCUGGGUACCCCCAGCCAGAGCUACUCUUGGGGCCAUGGGCCUGGUGUGGCGGGGGCAUUCACAUGAAUUCUCCACAGAUAACAUGAAACUAUGUUGUUGUUUAACUGGAUAUCUCUAGGUAACCUUGACUGUCCUGGAAUUCGCUAUGUAGAUCAGGCUUGCCUACAACUGAGAAAUCCCCCUGCCUUUGUCU